rnacentral:lncRNA from 1 species
CUUAGCUACAGUACCCGGUUAGAGUCCGUGGUCCAGCUUACUUAUGUCCAGGCUUAGCUACAGUACCCGGUUAGAGUCCGUGGUCCAGCUUACCUGUGAUCUGGUUUUGGCUACAGUACCCGGUUCGAGUCCGCGGUCCAGCCCACCCGUGCCCGACCUUUGGCUACAGCACCCGGUUCGAGUCUGUGGUCCAGCCCAUGUAGGUUGACUCAUUAGCUAUAGUACCCGGUUCGAGUCUGUGGUCCAGCCCAUGUAGGUUGACUCAUUAGCUAUAGUACCCGGUUCGAGUCUGUGGUCCAGCCCAUGUAGGUUGACUCAUUAGCUAUAGUACCCGGUUCGAGUCUGUGGUCCAGCCCAUGUAGGUUGACUCAUUAGCUAUAGUACCCGGUUCGAGUCUGUGGUCCAGCCCAUGUAGGUUGACUCAUUAGCUAUAGUACCCGGUUCGAGUCUGUGGUCCAGCCCAUGUAGGUUGACUCAUUAGCUAUAGUACCCGGUUCGAGUCCGUGGUCCAGCCCAUAUAGGUUGACUCAUUAGCUAUAGUACCCGGUUCGAGUCCGUGGUCCAGCCCAUAUAGGUUGACUCAUUAGCUAUAGUACCCGGUUCGAGUCCGUGGUCCAGCCCAUAUAGGUUGACUCAUUAGCUAUAGUACCCGGUUCGAGUCCGUGGUCCAGCCCAUAUAGGUUGACUCAUUAGCUAUAGUACCCGGUUCGAGUCCGUGGUCCAGCCCAUAUAGGUUGACUCAUUAGCUAUAGUACCCGGUUCGAGUCCGUGGUCCAGCUUGCACGUGGUGUAUUCCCAAUUCCUCACUAAAGCUUCAGUUUAGUCUUGAUUACUCUCAUCUGUAGGUUGAG